UUAACCACAUUUCUCAGAUGCUGUUUUAAUUGAUCCCGUGCCUCGGCCUGCACCUCUCCUAGGACAAAUUAUAGGAAGGAGAAGAACCUAAAAGAAUCAAUGGAACUCCUGUCAUUAAUUGUGACGGAAAUCCCGGAGCGCUCGGGGGAAUUCUCCUCCGCUCCCCGGCUGUUUUACGUCACCCCAAAAUGUGCAGUGCCCACCUCCCUGGUGGGGCCACGAGGUGAAGAACCAAUCCAUGGCUUCCCAGCUGACCAGGAAUUGGGGCUGGAGCUGUUCUGUGUAGCCUCCAGCCCCAUUCCCAGCUGUCCUCCGGGUGCUUUCCCAGAAACCCCUCUGUCCUGGAAAGUCUGGAGAUGAAAGAAUCUCCCGGGCUGUAAUCACAGUGCCCAGCCCCAGGAAUUCCAAAAUUGCCCUAAAUGCGGAGGAAAGCAAUUAUAGCAAUUGGGUUGCUGAUGUACUUCCCAAAUUUGUCCCGUGACUAAGGGGAGUUCUCGAGGAACUGCUCCGACCUCCACAAUGGGAAUAUAAAAAUGGUCCCAACCCCGGCGCUCCUCACACGGCUCCUCUUGGUUUGCUCUUCCCUCUGAACUUGGCUCACCUCCACCCCCGCACCCCACCAUGUCCUGCUGCUACUCCCCGCGCUGCUACACCCUGUGCUGCUCCCCCUGCUACCGCACCUACACCCGCACCUACAGCUGCAACCCCUGCAUCAGCCGCACGCUGAGCUGCUGCCGCCGCUCCUACGGCAGCUGCUGCACCUCCCGCAGCUGCACCACGCGCUACUACUACCCCUCGUGCUGCUCCUACUCCUGCUGCUACCCCUGCUGUUGAUCCCAGAGGAAAAUCCCCCCCAACGGACCCGCGCCCACGGAAGACGAACGGAUGAGCCCGCUGUUGGUGUUUGCACAAUCGCGGAGCCCCCGCGGUGAAGUCACCACGAGUGGGGGCUUUGCUGUGCUCUGAAACCUCUUGGAAUUUCUGGGUUUUGUGGUUGUCUCUGUCUCCUUCUUCCUGCCUUUCUCAACUCUCCUGAUAUUCU